rnacentral:lncRNA from 1 species
GCUCCAGCAAGGAAGCAUAUCUAGGCCUAGUCAGUGGGAUGGGUGGCUGCACCCUCCCCUGCCUGCCCCAUCAGCUCCAGCAAGGACGGUGAGAUCUGGGAUGCUGCUCUGAGAUCCCUUCUCCCUGCGGCUUGCUGGGCAUAAGUCAUCAGGACCAGGAGGCCGUGCCCUCCCCAGCCUGCCUGGCCAUCAUUUCCAGCAAGGAAGCUUCAACAAGGAAGGUGAGAUCUGGGAGGCCUUUCUGAGAUCCCUUCUCCCUCCGGCCUGCUUGGGCCCAUUCUGAGGGACCAUGUGGACAUGAACUCCACUGCCUGUCCCACCAUCAGCUGCAGCAAGGAAGGUGAGAUCGAGGAUGCUGCUCAGAGAUCCCU